AUUGAGCGCUGGCGGCAUGCUUUACACAUGCAAGUCGUACGGUAACAGGUUAAGCUGACGAGUGGCGAACGGGUGAGUAAUGCAUCGGAACGUGCCCGGUCGUGGGGGAUAACGCAGCGAAAGCUGCGCUAAUACCGCAUACGAUCUGAGGAUGAAAGCGGGGGACCGGAAGGCCUCGCGCGAUCGGAGCGGCCGAUGUCAGAUUAGGUAGUUGGUGGGGUAAAGGCUCACCAAGCCAACGAUCUGUGGCUGGUCUGAGAGGACGACCAGCCACACUGGGACUGAGACACGGCCCAGACUCCUACGGGAGGCAGCAGUGGGGAAUUUUGGACAAUGGGCGAAAGCCUGAUCCAGCAAUGCCGCGUGCAGGAAGAAGGCCUUCGGGUUGUAAACUGCUUUUGUACGGAGCGAAAAGGUCUCCUCUAAUACAGGGGGCUCAUGACGGUACCGUAAGAAUAAGCACCGGCUAACUACGUGCCAGCAGCCGCAGUAA
rnacentral:rRNA from 1 species